rnacentral:antisense_RNA from 1 species
AAGUAGAUACAGGCAGGGGCAGGAAUAGGAGCAGAGCAGAAGCCCAAAGAGUGCGUUUAGGGGACAUAAAACAGCAAAAAUGGAUUUAAAGGAAAGCCCAGUCAUUCACACUUAGAAGAAUUCCUGGACUAACAAUUCCAAGCCAAGACAGCUGCGGCAACAUUGAGGUAGAAUCAAAACCUGGGGAAAGACCUUAGGUAUUCAGAACAAAACAACCAGCAGGCGGGCCUGCGGCAUUCCAAGAGCAGACACUGGCAGGAACAAAAGUUACAGAAGUGAGUGACUCUAAGAAUCAAGCAAGACAUGGAGUGGCAGAAAAUUAAAUUCUGAGUCCCUAAAAGACAUAAUGCAAAGAUGACCUCCACUCCCAAGGACAUGUCCUCAUCCCGCGCUGACCGUGUGUGGUCAUUUCAGGAAAAGCAAACAAUGGAGAACCUGCUUGGAUGAUACUUAGACCUGGCACAACUGAAAGGAGUUGCACUUAUACAAUUUGAUGCAGCGGAGUCCCCUGGGAGGAGCCCCAGUCACACGGGAAGAGACAGUCACAGCUGUAAUAAAUGAUGGCUAGCAUGUAUCAAGCACUGGCUGAGUCCUCAGCAUACAUUACAUUACAGAAUUCAAUGUGCACCUCAGCACUCUGGGGGUGUAUUUUAUAGGAGAACUGUGGCACAAAGAGGGUAAGUGUCUUACUAACUGUGUGGCUCAUCUGCCAAGCAGGGGUAAUCUGACCCCAUGAGGUUGCCACAAGUAUUCAAUUAGUUUUAUUUUACAAUUAGAACAGUGGCUGCCUGAAGAAGUAAAAUAUACAAGUAUUUGUUAUGCAAAAACAAAUAAGUCAUAAAUCUCCAUCUUACAGAUAAGAAAAUGCAUUCUGGUUUUUGUUCUGUUGCUGACAAACUAUGGGACUUCAGGCGAGGCCAUGAAACAGUUGGGUCUUGAUUGCCUCCUAAAAAUCUCAGCAUUUGUACUCAAUGAUUAGUUGGAUCGUUUUUC